rnacentral:tRNA from 1 species
GGGGAUAUAGCUCAGCUGAUAGAGUGCUUGCCUUGCAUGCAUUAAGCUGUGGGUCCAAACCCCAGCACCACCA